ACAAGGUUUCCGUAGGUGAACCUGCGGAAGGAUCAUUGUCGUAACCCUGCGAAAGCAAGACGACUCGCGAACACGUAGUUACCCUGGGGGAUUCGAGCGCGUCUCCUUCGGGCCGAAGCGCUCGRUUCCCAACGUCGGGAAGGCUUGGCGCCUGUCUCCGAGCUUUGUCCCGACACAACAAAAACCCGGCGUGAAAUGCGCCAAGGAACAUAAAAAGAGAGCGCAUUCUUCCGGUGCUGGCUCGCGCUGCACUCGGACGGGUGCCGUCUUCUUGAUGAGUUUAURAUGACUCUCGGCAACGGAUAUCUCGGCUCUUACAUCGAUGAAGAACGUAGCAAAAUGCGAUACUUGGUGUGAAUUGCAGAAUCCCGUGAACCAUCGAGUCUUUGAACGCAAGUUGCGCCCGAAUCCCUUGGGUUAAGGGCACGUCUGCCUGGGUGUCACGUACACACGUCUCCCACAAUCCUUCGCCCUCUGCGGACGAAGGGUCUCGUGAGAGCAGAGAUUGGUAUCCCGUGCCCCCGAGGCGCGGCUYACCUAAARACAGAGAGCCAGUGAUGAAACGUCACGUCUAGUGGUGGUUAAUGUGCCUCGACGGCCGACCAGUUCGCGGCGCGAUUGUUUGUCGCUGGGAAAGCUCGACCGACACCUUGAACGUCGUCUAAUCGGCGUGCUACUGUCGCGACCCC
rnacentral:misc_RNA from 1 species